ACACCACUCGAUAAUUAUGUGAAAUUUCGUUAGAAGUCGGGUAUGUGUUUCAUGCGUGCGGCGUUUUUUUUUGUGCAAUCAAUUUGGGUCUUUAUCAAUUUUUGGAGAUUUUUGGUAUCGAAGUUGUUCGAUAGAGAUCCAGCUAUGCAUAUGCGGGCGGUAGGAUGUACUGACUCUGGAAUCUAUAUCAAAUGUGUGAAUAUUUCUUUGAAUGGAAUCAUAUAGUAGCUGUUGUAACCCUGAUUAUGAUUUGGUCUUGUAGUUGCAUUCAUCUUAUGAAUUGAAUUUUGUGUGGUUUAUUCGACGUUAUGCUCACGGUUUGAAGGCAAUGUCAAACUCCCAACGAGUUGGGAUGCAUCAUGGUAUUGGUAGUAGCAUCGAAGGGAACUAUGUAUCGCCACCGCGGAAGUAUCGUAAGGGGAUAGGUCUCGAAGGAUGUGGGUUGUACGCGAGGAGGAGAUCCUAGCAGCUACGUUACUAGACCUAGUGGCCCAUGGUUGGAAAUCCGAUAAUGGUUUUCAUGCAGGUUAUCAACAGAAGAUCGAGGAUGCUAUACAAGCGGAGUUCCCAAAGACAAAUAUCAAGGGUACUCCUCAUGUGACAUCGAAGAUUUCAGCGUGGAAGGGACACUGCAACAGCCUCAAUCGAAUCUUAAGUCGGAGUGGAGUGGGUUCAAUAACGAUGGCGAAUACAAGAUAGACUGCAGCGACGAACAAUGGGCACAAAUUGUUCAGGCUGAUAAACAUGCAAAGUUUAUGCGGACGAAGUCUUGGCCACUUUGGGAGACUUGGAAGGCAAUAUUUGGCAAAGAUCGUGCCAGUGGUGGUGGGGCUGAGGACCUGCAAGCGGCUGCUAAGCGGCAGCGAGAUAAAGUCGCUGCUGCUGCAAGCCAAACACGCUAGGCUGAUGAGCUCCCGUUGUCUGAAGAAUUCCCAAAUCACGAAACUGAUCCGGUGGCAGAGCAAGUGGAACAGAACGACAUAAGUUCAGGAAACAAUGAGAGGCACACGUCUACCACCAAAUCUGGUGGAAGCAAACGCAAGAGCACCUCCUCUAAUGAUGCACUGUUGGACUUCUUAGCUAAUCUACAUGCCGACACUAACGCUCGGUUGGAGGUUAUUGCUGCAAGAAUCAGGUACGAGUUUGAUUUGGGAAAGGCUAGGCAAGAGGUUUUUGACAAGCUUGGUACCGUUGACGGCCUAACUCUUGAAGAGAGGUACGACCUCUGCGACAUCCUCAGCAAAAAUUCGGAGUGGAUGGAGGUUUUCAUAGGGAUGCCACCGAAUGCUAGGCCGGGGUAUCUGAAAAGGUUUGUCAAACCAAAUAACCUGCCCAAGUGAACGCAGUUGCUGGUAUCUCUUCAUCCCAUGGUAUUAUAAUUGGCUAAUGAUAAUUUAUCCCAACUUGUCUCUCCUGAUGCAUAAGUUAAGUAGAAGUAAAUGCUUUUUUUGUAAACUUUGCCUAUAGUACGCAAAACGUUUUGUAAACCUAUUCAAGGUGGGACAGUAUAUGGGACUUUUGAUGAUGAUAAUGUAAAUUAUAUUAUGUUUGCUGAUU